UACGUAGGGGGCAAGCGUUGUCCGGAAUCAUUGGGCGUAAAGAGCGUGUAGGCGGCCCGGUAAGUCCGCUGUGAAAGUCCAGGGCUCAACCCUGGGAUGCCGGUGGAUACUGUCGGGCUCGAGUCCGGAAGAGGAGUGUGGAAUUCCGGGUGUAGUGGUGAAAUGCGUAGAUAUCCUGAGGAACACCGGUGGCGAAAGCGGCGUGCUGGACACCUUCUGACGCUGAGGCGCGAAAGCCAGGGGAGCGAACGGG
rnacentral:rRNA from 1 species